AUACGGAGGAUGCGAGCGUUAUCCGGAUUUAUUGGGUUUAAAGGGUGCGUAGGCUGUGCGUUAAGUCAGGGGUGAAAUGCCGUCGCUCAACGACGGAGCUGCCCUUGAUACUGGCGUGCUGGAGUACGGAUGCCGUUGGAGGAAUGAGUGGUGUAGCGGUGAAAUGCUUAGAUAUCACUCAGAACACCGAUUGCGAAGGCAUCUGACGAAUCCGUCACGGACGCUGAGGCACGAAAGCGUGGGGAUAGAACAGGAUUAGAUACCCUGGUAUUCCACGCCGUAAACGAUGAUGACUAACCGUCGGCGAUAGACAGCCGGUGGCCAAGCGAAAGCGAUAAGUCAUCCACCUGGGGAGUACGUCGGCAACGAUGAAACUCAAAUGAAUUGGCGGGG
rnacentral:rRNA from 1 species